rnacentral:rRNA from 1 species
AUGGCUGAAAUGCUCACAGUACCUUCGGAACCGAUGUGCGAGAUUGCGGAGCGGGGUGGAGACGGCGGGGAGAGAAUGGGGCGGAAAGGGUUUGGCCGGGCGAUUAGCGAGGCGCCGGCGGUGACGCCGAGGUCAACUUGCGGGGAUGGGAAGGUGGAGACGGAGGAGGGGGCGCCGCACCUGCAGAUCCGCCGGUGCAGAGGGCCGCCUUCGACCAGCGGCCGCCGAAGAAUUGCCUGCGGCCGCCGCAAGAGGGAGGGAGGGCUAUCCAACGACAAUGUGCGCCUAUGGAUUCAUUUCCUCCGCAUCAUUUCUCCACCUCACAGCUCCCUAGCUCUCAUAGGUCAUGUCUCAUCUCUCGUCGCUCCUCCUCCCCUUCUUAUUCAUGUGUUGCUCCAUGUCGCGCACCUUUCACUCUCCCAUGUCCAUUGCCUCUCCUGUGUCGGUCUUCAGUACCUCGGGUACUGUAUAUAUCAAUCCAAUGAAGAUAGUGGAUAUGGCGAUGGGUAUGACUAUGACGUCUAUAGUGGCAGAGAUGUCAAACGAGGUCGACGACGGUCGUGUGAUGGUUGGACGAGAGAGAUAUUUCUAGAAGCCCCCCUCCUUUAUAUAGUGCAAACAAGUGGAAUAGGGUCUCAGGAUCCAUGUGAUACGGAUUGGACUCGACCCCCUUCACGAGAGUUGCUUGUGUUGACGUCACAGAGGCGACAAGGUGUGGAACAAUCUCAUGUACGGACAAUGACGCUCAUGUGGCACCCCAUCCAUGAUCCAUGGAUGCUAAUUAAUGUUGAUGAAGUAACACCACUUAUGGACACGGCGGUUUGGUGCCCGAGCUCAGCUGCUCCCGAAAUCACCGGCGUGCAUUCCUCGCUCGGGAUGCGAACAAAACAGCUUGUCGCGUCUAACACGGAAUAUAGAAAAAGGAGCGUAUGCGGUAAUACGGUAGGAAACAGUGCAUCUUUCGUGGGCCCAGAUCGUAUCGGGGGAACGGAGGACGCGCGUGUGCGUUCUGGUCCGUGGACCAGAACGUUCUCAUCUCAACCGAGCCACGGAUCAGAAUCGUCGCCCCCCUCUCUUCUCCCAAAACCGGCGGCGCUCGAUCUGCACCGGCGGCCACGUGAUGGAAGAGGCUGGCCUCGAUUUCCUGCUCGAUGCCGUCCACAGCGAAGCCAGCCGCGCCGUCCCUGCGGACUCAAAUGCCGGGUCUGGUUGCGGGCAACAGGACGGGGAGUGCGCCGGCGUCCCGAUGCUUCUCUGACUCGGUCGGGGCAGUCAACUGACCCCGAGGCCUCUGGUUACAGCUCGGUAGUGCACCACCAGACCAAGACACCUUGUCCCUGGGAUGAGUGCUCACAAUUAUGCAGAGGAACCGACAAAGAGUGUAGUGCGACCUGCACUUGCUCGGGCGAGGCAUAUGAUUUCUACAAUUUGUACACUUGGGAGAUCGGGUUCGGAAUUAGAUAUGAUAAGAUCAGGCUCAACGCUGAGAGGACAAAAUGCAUGGAGGAGAUAGUCUGCGGUUGCUCGGGAUUGGGCCAAUGUACUCCCCAAGUUCAAGACAAUAACAAGCAGUUACUACUUACUACCGGGGAGUGCAUGGAAUCAUUAAUGACGAGCCAAUCUGCCACGGAGAGGAAAUCUACUGUCCAUGUUCACAUGAAAGGGCAGCCCAUACAGCAACAGAACAGCAGCUGCUGCUCCGCAUAG